rnacentral:lncRNA from 1 species
GAUCUGGUUAAACUUAAAAACAGCUGCCAGAUGUUUUUCAGGGGAAAGGAGGGAGGUAAGAUAUUGAAUGAGAAGACUAAGAAAAAUAAUUCUUUGGGGGCUGGGCAGGAGUCUCUAUGACUGAUUCUUGCGGCUUAACUUUUGGCAUGUGUUCAGCACCUUGCUGUUCAGGGGAAUCAUCUUGUUCCUGAUUCUUUGCUGUGCCUUUCAUUUUUCAUUCUGCUUUCUUACAUCCCAGUGCCAGAAGCAUCACUCAUGUCAUGCAAGAAGAAAGACUUAGAGAGUCCUGGGCUCCCUUCAUGGAACAGUGGUCUUUAUCCCCUUACCAGAAAACUGAGAGAUGUAAUAAUCUCUCCACUUCUGUUCUGGCAGGUCUACCAGGCUCAGUCUUGAUUCUGACGACAUUUGAUGGUGUCAGCAGAGUAUAAGGACCUGAAUGACCGUUUCUGCAUCCACCGAGUUACCCUCCUGGUGGUUGGUAGUUGAGCAGGGUGGGGUGAUGCCUUGUUCCCUGAUACAAGCCGUGCCUUCAGCAGUGCUGAGCUCCCAGGAUUUAAUUCCUUCAAUUACAAGGAUCUCUGCCGCCCCGUUGUUGCUCCAUGAACCUUCUGACACGAGUCAAAUGCAGAUGAGAUGAAAGGAUUCAUUCAUCCCAAGUGAAGGCAAAGAGCGGCGGUAAUGCAAGAGAAGGGCUUGGCUCGUGCUCUGCUUCCAGCUCACAGUUAUGUCCCCAGGAUGCAGACAUUAAGCAUCUUGCACAGAAUGUGGGAGGAGGAAGAAAAGUCUUUGUCUGAGAUUCACGAAUUUUAAUGGCUUCCAGAAGGGGAAAUCUUUUACUAAAGAGCAAAAGCAAAGUUCAGAGAAAUGCAAAAGCAUUUAUCUCCCUGGUUGCAUUCCUGCCUGCCAAAAGUGGGAGGGUUGGUUUGCUCCUCUGGUAAAAAGGGUCCCAGAGGAAGAAUGAUCUCAGGAGUCAUAAGCAUCUUCUCUUUGUGUGCAAAGAACUUGGAUCAACAGGAAAUAUUCUUUGGUGGGAUCAUGCAGAAUCUGUCUAUCAUUAUUUGCUCCCCACUACUACAUGCCUACACUUCUGCUUCCCACAGUAACUCUGAUUUACCACUGAUAAAUCAUUUUACCUUCAUUAAAAUUUGUAAUUAUAGUAGAUGGAGCUGCAUUUGAAGCAUGUUCACUAGCUGUAAUGGAUGGCAUUUUUGUAUGAUCACAGAAUCAUUAAGGUUGGAAAAGACUUCUAAGAUCAUCUCGUCCAAUUAUCCACCUACCACCAAUAUUGCCUGCUAAACUGUGUCUCUUAAUUUUGUAUCUUUUACCUGGGUGAAACUUACUCGCCAAAAAGUAAGGCUGCAGAGAAUGACACUGCUGUAUCCCAGUCUCAGAAGCAGCACUCUCUCCAUGCACAGAUUUGCCAGGUUCUGCAUAAGUCUGAUAAAUCCAUGUCCUUAUUUCUGUGAAUGAUUUACAAGAUCAGAAAUGUGUCUGAAAGAAAAUCCAGAGCUGGAUGGUGACCUUGGAUUUUAUGCUCUCCCAUGUGUGUAUGCAUGUGCAUACAGCAUCCCUUAUUUUUGCACUUUGUCAUAUAUUGUGCUGGAAAGUUAGCUUUGACAAGUGGAAAAGUAUAAAGAUUAGAACAAUCAUGUUUACAUGUAUUACCACCUGCUACUUCUCUUCUUCCAUGGUGCUUAAAUGUUCAGUCAGAAGGCUUUGAAACACGCUACCUGUAAUGCACUUAAGAACUCUGCUGGAUUUCCAGUUUGCUUUGAUCUCCACUGUCUAGAGACUACCUCAUAGAAUAUAAAUGAAUAUAUUUAGGGGAAAAUUAUUUUCAAGGAGAAAACCCUGAAGUCCUUCCAACAUAUAUGCUUUGCCAGUUGAUGUCAUUCCUAAGGUUGGUUUUUUUGCAUUUUAUCUUCACGUUUCAGGAGGCCUCCAUCUCCGUCUAGAAUGAGCAAUGUAAUGAGGGAAGACCCAUCCAAGAAGAUUAAUCCCAUCUUCCCACUGAAGAUGGAUGUGUUCAGCUCCCCUUGUUGUGGGCGCUGACGUGGCAAGCAAUUCUUUGGUGAUUUUUGUUCACAAAGUAGAUAGAAGAAGAGAUGAAUUAUUAUUUACAGACUAAACAAAGCAAAAUAAAAAUGUAUUUCAUCAAGAAAGAAGGAGAAGGAUGUGAGGGAAAAGAUGGUAAGAUUAAUAUGAUUGGGAAGGAGACAUUGACUAGAGAGCUGGAAAUAGAAGAAAGAUGUGACUAGAUCAGGCUAUGAGCAAACCAGCAGCUUUCUGAGGGCUUUGCAAGCGCAUCUUUCCCAUCUCACCACAUGAAGCCACCAUGCAUGACUGCCAUUUGGAAUUGGGUUGGUGUAAGGAGUAAUCUAUAGCCCUCAAGCUAGCCACUGCUUGAGCUCUAGCCAUGGAGGAGAAGUCACCUCUCACUGGGAAUGGGGAAAACAUCAAAAGCAAUCAACAAGGUUUCAUUUGAAUUGGUCCUAUUCUGUUAGGAGAUCAGAGCCUGCAAAAGAACAACCUACAGAUGAUCUUUUUUCUCCCUGACCUUGUGCUGUUCCCUCUGGACAUGCUGGUGUUGCCAUGCAGAAGACAUUCACUCAACUCUUCUCCAUGACCAGUGCAGGAGUGGUGUGAAUGUCAGGAAACUCAGCCAGGAAUGCAAAGCAUCCCUCAUUUUGAAAAAAAUUUGAAACUUCUGAAGAGAUUUUGAAAAAGAACAAGAGAGCUGUGAGUUCCUCUUUUUGUAAAGCAGAGAGGAAGCAGGAACAGAAUCAUGGCUCUGAAUGGUGGUUUUGUUUCCUGGUCUGCUCUGCUCAAUGCUUUAUGCAGGUUUUUCUGCAGACUAAUCCUGUGCACAUCCCCCUGUCUCCACCAAGGGCUUAAUUGCUAUUAGUUACUGGUAGUACAGCCUUCCUUAAAAUAGAAAUAUAUCCCAGUGUGUUCAGUGAGGGAAAAUUGGAUCUUUGUGGAACAGAGACUCCCAAAAUUGAAGUCCACUGAUGUUAUUAUGGACAUUGAAGGGAGACAGACAAUAAUAAACUCUCCCAAUCAUGGGAUCCAGGAUGUAAAAAACACGUCCCAGGUUCUAAAUGAAAAUUCUUAUGUGAUGACAUGAAAGAUCUGUUCCUUAGCAAGCUGUGGAGGUGGGAGAGCAAAGAGAAACCAAUGAAGAAAAGGGAUGGUGGUGGAAGAGGGGGCAGCUCCCAAAGGAAACACUGCCUCAGCCCAUUGCCUGACAAAGGAAGAUUGAUGUCUUCCUUGCUUGUGCUUUCUUCCUUCCCACUGCUGGGACUGUGGAACAUCCUUGAAAGAAGCAAGGAAAUGAUGUUUAGUAACUGGGACCUGACUGUCUCUCCUUUGCUGAGAUAUGAGUCCUUACCUGUAGGCUGAGAAAGGGACCAGCAUGAAGGACUAGGAGGUGUAGAGGAGGACUAGGAGGUGUAGAGACUAGACAACCUGAGAGGGUAGUUGUGAGUGAAAGAUAACAAUCGGAGACUGGUCCACUCUCUGAGAGCAUCCUUGCAUAAAGAUACACCAAGAAUCUAAUUUUCUGCUCCCUGUACUGUUCAGCAGAAGGACUGUGCUCAUGACACUGGAAUGAACUAUCAUAUAAUUAGAAGGAAAAUCUCUGCUAGAUUACAAAUACUGCUUAUAUAAGGACUUCUUUAAAGUUUCAGGAAAUAACAGUCUCAACUGAAAAUGUGAUUUUGUAAUAAACUGGUAAAUUACUAGCUCUAAUAUGCAUUAAGUAAACCUUCAAAAUUGAAUUCAGCAAUAUAUCCACGCAGAUCUCAGAAUAUAGGAAUGAAAUGUAAAAAUAGUAUCAUUUUGAAGUUGAGAAUUUCUGAAAAGUUGUCCAAAUAACCUGAAUUCAAGGAUGACAUUUUCAUGCUAACUCUCCUUAACCCACCAGAAAUAUUUUUUCUCUCUGCUUUUCAUACGUGAAGCUCUUUAAUAGCUGUGGUGAUGUGAUUUCUGAACUAUUUGCUUAACCUAUCAAUUAUCUGGUUUAAUUAAAGCUGGCCAUCAGCACCUGUUUUUUCAUCCUUUAUUAGGUGAUGGAAAUAUCCAAUUAAGAGAUGAGAAGCACCUUGUUUUCAGGUUAACAGGAUGUUUUUUUCAAAGAAAACAAGGCUUUUUUUGUUUGUUGCUUUAUAGAGAGAGUAAAUGUUUACUACCCGGAGGUAUCAAGUCAAUGUGAAGCAACAAUUUGUGAUAUCUGUUCCAGUACAAAUUCAUUUGUCCCAUAAUAAGUUGAGGUAGACACAGAAAAACAGAGUGCAAUUUAAUUGAUUUUUGAAUAAAUAUUCUGUUUCCAAAGGAAGUUAAUGUUUCUGUAAAUACUUAUUUCUGUUUCAGCAUUAAUAUGCUAAAACAAUCGGUUUUCCUUCUGGAAAUUUUUCCUGGAAUUGUGAUUACUGAGUUCUCUCAACACAAAGGAGCUACUAGAGAAACACUACCCCAAGAAAAGCUGUAAGUGCUUGAGGUUUAAAUUUAUACAUUUCCUUAUCCAAGAACAUUUCAGAUUUUGACUUUCCUAAUCUGGAUUCUCCCCUUUUACUCUCAUGUGGAAAAUGUACUUCUGCCUUAUUUCUGAAGUCAGUACCAUUGCUUUCCUCUAGAUUUUUGCCUGUUGGAGACAUGAGUCUUGCACUGGUGUCCAAGAUAGAUUUAAGCAAAUGCUGUGAUGCCUAAAUUCAAAAUACAGAGUGAUUCAGUGUUAACACCUUUGUGAGCUAACAGGCUGUGGCUGUAUAAACAGUCAGCAGAGAGAAAGCUGAAUCUGGUGUCUACAAGAGAGAGUUUGAAUAAGGCUGCUUCACUGAUGCUUUACUGUAUCACACAAAAAUGAUUUUUAAAAAUAUUUUCCAACCUUUUAUAUAUAGCCUAAACCUCUUUCUUGCUUUCUUCCUCGUUGUUGAGUUUAUGCCUCUGCUAAGCCUUCAAAAAUCUGGUCGUUUCUGCUGCUUUUGGAGGUGUCUUUCAUAUAAAAAGGAAAAGAUAAGCUCGUGGGUGUUGGUCUGUGAAUGGAGAUGCAGUCAGGGAAAUAACCCUCUCUGUACCCAUAAGUCUGAUCAGUGAAAAGGUGCAUAAAUGCUGAAAAGGGGUGUCUGUACAUAAGUGUAAGUCUGCACACAGAUGUAUACUUCGUCUAUGCUUACACUGUGUGUAUGAUAUAUGUGUCUGUAUAAAAAGAAUUCAAAUCCACUUUGCAGGUUUGCUGCUGCUGAAAGUGUGUGUUUCCAAAUCUAAACACCUGCACAUACAUAAAGGCUGGAUGUUUGAUUGUGCUGAGCUAUACGCUUUUCACACAUGCUCUUUGUAAUGUGGACUGCCUCCUCAAAGUAGACAUUUUAAACAUGCAGUCCCCAGGAAAAUAGGAAUUUAUCACUCACGAUAACAUGAAGCUGUCACAGGGUGUGUUCAAAAGCCCCCCUGCAACUUACUGAUAAAAAGCUUAACUCCAUUUCAGGGCUUAUCUGAAGAAGAAAGGGGUAGACCCUCAUGAAAUAACUGAAUUUUUUUUCAAGGAUGGAAAAAGAGAAGGAAAGGGAAGGAGCAGAAGAACAAAUGCAGCAGAACAAGUUUAACCCGUUGAGAUUUUCAGUAAAGUUUUGUGCUUCAUCAGGAAGAAUCCUGCAGUGAAACAUAUGUCAGAAGAGAAGCAGAUAUGAGAAAGCGGUCUCCUUUGCAGAUGAGAAGAUUAAUUAAGAGGGAAAUCACUUAGCCAGAUGUCUCACUGGUGAAACUGUACGUGCAAGGUACAUCUGCAAUGAGAGAUCAGCAGAGCAAAGACAGUGCAUUUGACUUCUUUGCUAACAUUAGAGAGAGAAGAGUCUGGUGUGAAUUAGAUCAUGCUGACCCUUGGAGAAAUUGAGGAGCAUGGAUCUGAUUUCAGCUACAAAUUACGAG